GGAUGGCGCCAAUGCGGGAAAUAUGAUUUCGAGGAGCGCCUCGUUUCUACAGUAGAAGAAGAAGUUCACCUCGCUGGCUCGGAACACACAAGGAAACGCUGCGGAGCGCGCUGUGCUGGAAGUUGUCGGUUAUUUUGUGAUUGUACGGCCUAAAAUACCCACUGGCGACGCGAUUCCAGUUAAACUACACCCCGUCUGUGUGUGGACCUUUACAGGUGGGUUAUAUCUUAGCCAAGAUAUAAACUGUUUCGAGGAAGGCUGCCGGGCCUCGCGGGUUAAUCACCAUGAGUUACGGUAGGCCUCCGCCGGACGUCGACGGCAUGACUUCCCUCAAAGUGGACAACCUCACCUACCGAACAUCGCCCGAAACACUCAGACGUGUAUUCGAGAAGUAUGGCCGGGUAGGGGACGUCUACAUUCCCCGAGACCGCUACACUAAAGAAAGCCGUGGGUUCGCUUUUGUGCGGUUCCACGACAAACGGGACGCCGAGGAUGCGAUGGACGCCAUGGACGGAGCGCUCCUGGAUGGUCGGGAGUUGCGGGUCCAGAUGGCCCGGUACGGCAGGCCCCCUGAUUCCCACUACGGUGGAGGGCGGCGAGGAGGAACGACGCGGAGGUACGGGGGAUAUGGACGGCGAAGCAGAAGCUGUUCCCCCAGCCCCAGACACCGGAGACGCAGCAGAUCCCGCAGCAGGAGCCGCUCUCGUUCCCGAAGCCGAUCCCGCUCCAGCAGAUCCAGGUCCCGGUCCUACUCCAGAUCCAAGUCCCACUCUCCCAGGAACAAGAAGGCCAAGGCCAAGUCCCAUUCCCGGUCCAGAUCGAGAUCCAGGUCCCGGUCUAAGUCCAGGUCCAGAAGCCGUAGCCCUUCCUCCAAAAGAGGGUCCAGGUCCAGGUCUAAAAGCCAGCCCAAGUCAACAGCAGAAAAUGGAGGCGAAUCCCCAUAGAGCUCGGAACAGCAACAGUAGCUGCGGCAUCCUGUUUGCUAAAGCGGAGUUUGAGCUGAGCUGAGGCAGUGUGAGCAUUAGGUGUGUGGUGAGCUGCCCGCAGGCCGCCUGCUGCUGGUGAGGGUUUCUGUGCAGCAGGGUGGAGGCAGUCAAUGUUGGGGUUUGGUGUUGAAUUUCAGGUGACGACUUCAGAACGUCUGACAGGAUCCCACACGAGCAAGUGUCCAGCUGUAAAAGGUUAUUAUUGUGUCUUCCAUGCUUUGGUCUGUUUUUAUUCAUUUGGCCUCAGAAAGGCUCAUUCAUGACAUUGAGUGCUGUGAUUUUUAUUUUCCUUUUCAUAACUUGUUUAUGAUUUUUAAAACGUUGUUUAAUGUGGAGAAGAACCUGUGUUCAGACUUGGGUUCACAAGACAAUUGUAAGUGUGUUGCGGUGGUCUCGGUUGCCCCUGUCCUUUCAGUUCUUCUCUCUGCCACCUGUAUCAUGAAGCGAGUUCACCUUAGUCUAGCUUUCUUUGGGUCCCCUGGCCUUGCAAGGCCUGACACUGCCGAUCAUGGAUAACUGGUGUCCUAACAGAGUUCAUAAUUACAAUCCAAUCAGAAUCACAGAUGUGGAAUAUUUAAUGAUAUUUGUGUGUAAAUUAGGUUAUUGCUGUACCAGGAAGUAACUUUCAUUCAGGCAAAAGAUGUACAAUAAUUGCUAGAAAAAGAAUUAUUACAUAAGCCUGAUUACUGAACCUUAUUAGUUUUUAUUGUAUCACAUAUCAUAUUCUCCUGAACUGCAGUGAGUGUCUGACUGUGGUCACUUUUCUUCCUGAUGUUUUAAACCCAAAUUGGUCAAAUUUUGUGUUUAUAUGUUCUCAUUCUUUUAUCUUUGGGAUAUAUAAUUAAUUAUAUUAUAUAUAUAUAUAUAUAUAUAUAUAUAUAUUAUAUAAUUGUAUUGUCUCGAUUUUGAUAAAUGUAAAAUGCCAGAAAAGAGUAAAAGUGCCCAGUACAAUUCCUAAAGGCCAAGGUGACAUCUUCAAAUGUCUUUUGUUUUGUCGGACCAAUAAUCCAAAGAUUUUUGUUAUGCAAUGUCAUAAAGCAGAAAAAAGCAGCAUAAAGUUUUACUUUUUCCAUUUCGACGUCUGAACGUUUCAGCUCUAAAUAUGUCUGCCUUCUUGUUGUUACUUCUGACUUUAUCGCAAACAUCCCUGUCCAGAUAUUGUGGAAAUGUAGAAUUUUUGGGUUAGUUUAGUCUUUGAGAUCUACUGUAUUAUGGUAAGUGAGUCAGCCUCCUGAUCCUGGAAAGCCCGGCUUAAGCCCAAAGUUAGCUGGCUAGCACAUUAAUCUUGCUCUGUAAUACAGGCCAGUGGAAUUAAACAUCAGGGCUUCUGUUGAUACGUCACAGUGUAUAAUUCUGCCAGUGCACACAUCUCAUUAAGCCGAAGUGAUCCCUCUGAAACUUUACAUUAAAUUCCUCCUGUAAUCGCCGCAGCUCAGGGUGUCUUCGUGAGGCAGGACAGCAGUUCGUUCUAACCCCCGUGUUAAAUAUGAUCACGUAUGAAGUACAGUAAAAUGACUGGGGCUGUAAAGUGUAAAAAGUCACCAGUUGGAAGAAUGUGUCAGGUCAGUCAAAGGUCUUCACAGAUUUUAACUCAUCUCCUCAAAUAAAUUGUUUAAUUUUACAGAACGUCAUUUACUGGACACUCGACACACUGUCUUGUUUUUCAUUUCUGACCUUAAUGCUGCUUGUAUGUUGUUGUUUUUUUGUGCACUAGGCGCAGUUGUGUAGCAGUUGAGUAUUGCUGGUUAGCUGUUAAGGUGGCGUGUUGCUCUGCUGAGUGCUUGGAUGUAUCCAGUAUUCUCCAGAAAGCUCCUGUGACUACCAGUGGUACGGUCGCUACAGUCUCACUCUCUGUUCAAUGAAAUGCUUUUUUUUCCCCAUGUGGUAGAUAAAUGUGACGUUCAUUAAAGAUUUGGUGUUUUCACUAUAACAAUGUCUUCU